UAUGCCUAUAAUCAAUCUUCUCCUACUUAUUAUUACCACUUUAAUCGCUAUAGUAUUCCUUACACUCAUUGAAUGAAAACUCUUAGGCUACAUACAAUUACGCAAAGGACCUAACAUUGUAGGUCCCCAUGGACUGCUUCAACCAUUCGCUGAUGCAAUAAAACUUUUCGUCAAAGAACCCUUACGUCCCUCAGCGUCUACUAUUACCUUUUAUACUACUGCUCCAACCCUAGCUGUUUUGAUCGCUCUCCUCUUGUGAACUCCCCUCCGCAUACCAGAUGCUCUAAUUAAUUUUAAUAUAGGCCUCCUAUUUAUACUAGCCACAUCAAGCCUAGCCAUCUACUCUAUCCUAUGAUCAGGAUGAGCAUCUAAUUCAAAUUACACACUAAUCGGCACAUUACAAGCUGUAGCCCAGACAAUUUCAUAUCAAGUCACUCUAGCCAUUAUCCUUUUAUCAGUUCUACUAAUAAGUGGCUCAUUUAACUUACAUGCAUUUAUCACAACGCAAGAAUUCCUCUGACUGCUUCUACCAUCAUAACCCCUAGCCAUAAUAUGAUUUAUCUCCACACUAGCAGAAACAAACCGAGCCCCUUUUGAACUAACAGAAGGAGAAUCAGAGUCAGUCUCAGGCUUUAACAUCGAAUAUGCCACAGGUUCAUUUGCCCUCUUCUUUAUAGCAGAAUAUAUGAAUAUUAUCGUAAUAAAUGACUUAACUAUUACCAUUUUUCUAGGAGCACUACACACUAUAUAUUCACCAGAACUCUAUACCACAAAUUUCAUUACCAAGACCUUUCUUUAACCACCCUGUUUUUAUGAAUUCAAACAGCAUAUCUCCAAUUCCGCUAUGACCAACUUAUAUAUCUUCUAUGAAAAAAUUUCCUACCGCUUACACUAGCACUCUGCAUAUGAUGUAUCUCAAUGCCUAUUCUAAUUUCCAGCAUCCCACCCCA
rnacentral:lncRNA from 1 species